AUGAACGCUGGCGGCGUGCCUCAUACAUGCGCGUCGCGCGAACAGACGAGGAGCUUGCUCCUCUGACGUAAGCGGCGGACGGGUGAGUAACACGUGGAUAACCUACCUAUAAGACUGGGAUAACUUCGGGAAACCGGAGCUAAUACCGGAUAAUAUAUUGAACCGCAUGGUUCAAUAGUGAAAGACGGUUUUGCUGUCACUUAUAGAUGGAUCCGCGCCGCAUUAGCUAGUUGGUAAGGUAACGGCUUACCAAGGCAACGAUGCGUAGCCGACCUGAGAGGGUGAUCGGCCACACUGGAACUGAGACACGGUCCAGACUCCUACGGGAGGCAGCAGUAGGGAAUCUUCCGCAAUGGGCGAAAGCCUGACGGAGCAACGCCGCGUGAGUGAUGAAGGUCUUCGGAUCGUAAAACUCUGUUAUUAGGGAAGAACAAAUGUGUAAGUAACUAUGCACGUCUUGACGGUACCUAAUCAGAAAGCCACGGCUAACUACGUG
rnacentral:rRNA from 1 species